GUGCUUGCUUCGGCAGCACAUACACUAAAACCGGAAUGACAGAGAUUAGCAUGACCCCUGCGCAAGGAUGAUACACAAAUUCGUGAAGCGUUCAGUACUUCU